rnacentral:rRNA from 1 species
UACGAAGGGGGCUAGCGUUGUUCGGAAUUACUGGGCGUAAAGCGUAUGCAGGCGGAUCGUUAAGUCGGGGGUGAAAUCCCGAGGCUCAACCUCGGAACUGCUUUCGAUACUGGCGACCUUCGAGUCCGGGAGAGGUGAGUGGAACUCCGAGUGUAGAGGUGAAAUUCGUAGAUAUUCGGAAGAACACCAGUGGCGAAGGCGGCUCACUGGCCCGGUACUGACGCUGAGAUACGAAAGCGUGGGGAGCAAACAGG